UAAACCUCCAUUUUAGCAAAGCUCUUCUCACUUCCUCCAGAACCCUUGCUCAUUUUUCCACUUUCACUGCUUUAACCUUUUUCCGGCGCCGCCACCAUCGACAGCAAUAUACCUUCAGUUGCUAAGCUUCAGCUUUUGGGACUCUGCUUGGUAUCUCCAAUUUCUUUCUAAUGGCGAUUGACAAACUCUUCAAAGAUGAAGCCACUGAGGAAAAGGGUGAGCGAGCUAGGAUGGCAUCCUUUAUUGGAGCAAUGGCAAUUGCUGACUUGGUAAAGACGACCUUAGGACCUAAGGGAAUGGACAAAAUUCUGCAAUCAACAGGCAGAGGACACAGCGUUACAGUCACCAAUGAUGGUGCAACAAUUUUGAAGUCCCUUCAUAUUGAUAAUCCAGCUGCCAAGGUCCUUGUUGAUAUCUCCAAGGUACAGGAUGAUGAAGUUGGUGAUGGGACAACUUCAGUAGUCGUUUUGGCUGGAGAACUUUUGAGGGAGGCAGAGAAGCUGGUAAACGCUAAAAUUCAUCCAAUGACAAUUAUAGCAGGUUUCCGGAUGGCAUCUGAGUGUGCCCGCAAUGUUCUGGAGCAGAAGGUCGUGGAUAACAAGCAGGAUGCAGAGAAGUUCAGAUCAGACUUGAUGAAUAUUGCAAGGACUACUUUGAGCUCAAAAAUCUUGUCUCAGGACAAGGAGCAUUUUGCAAAACUGGCUGUUGAUGCGGUUAUGAGGUUAAAGGGAAGUACUAAUCUUGAAGCAAUCCAGAUAAUUAAGAAACCUGGAGGGUCAUUGAAGGAUUCAUUUUUAGAUGAAGGGUGAUUUCUUUUUGUAGGUUUAUUUGGACAAAAGAUUGGGGUUGGCCAACCAAAACGCAUAGAAAAUGCUAAGAUUUUGGUGGCAAAUACUGCUAUGGAUACAGAUAAAGUGAAGAUAUAUGGUGCACGUGUUCGAGUUGACUCAAUGGCCAAGGUUGCUGAUCUGGAAGCAGCUGAAAAGGAAAAAAUGAGAGAGAAGGUGCAAAAGAUCAUUAGUCAUGGAAUAAAUUGCUUUGUUAACCGACAGCUGAUCUACAAUUUCCCAGAGGAACUAUUUGCUGAUGCUGGGAUACUUGCAAUAGAGCAUGCUGACUUUGAUGGUAUUGAGCGUUUGGGCUUAGUUACUGGGGGAGAAAUUGCAUCAACCUUUGAUAACCCAGAGUCUGUCAAACUUGGCCACUGCAAACUUAUCGAGGAGAUCAUGAUUGGCGAAGAUAAGCUGAUCCACUUCUCUGGGGUUGCAAUGGGACAGGCAUGUACAAUUGUUCUGAGAGGUGCAAGCCCUCAUGUACUGGAUGAAGCUGAAAGAUCUCUGCACGAUGCAUUGUGUGUACUAUCUCAGACAGUAAAUGACAGCAGGGUUCUACUUGGAGGUGGAUGGCCCGAGAUGGUGAUGGCUAAGGCGGUUGAUGAACUAGCUAAGAAGACUCCAGGUAAAAGAUCUCAUGCAAUUGAGGCUUUCACCCGUGCACUUUUGGCAAUUCCAACCACCAUUGCCGACAAUGCUGGGCUAGACAGUGCUGAGCUGAUUGCUCAGCUUCGUGCUGAACACCACAAGGACGAAAGCAAUGCAGGAAUUGAUGUCAUCUCUGGAUCUGUUGGAGAUAUGUCAGAGCUAGGAAUAUCCGAGUCAUUCAAAGUCAAACAGGCAGUAUUGCUCUCUGCAACUGAGGCUGCUGAGAUGAUCCUAAGGGUUGACGAAAUCAUCACUUGCGCCCCACGGAGGAGGGAGGGAAUGUAAAAAAAACACUAUUGGUCAUGUUUAAGCUGUUGAGAUGACUCGUAUUAUUAUGGUUUGAGAAUUUGAGGUAUUAGGUGUUGACAGUCGUAAACGAACCAAAAUGAUUGAUUGCUACUGGAACCAUGCUAAUAUGCACUACGUUGAGUAGUUUAUUUUGUUUUUGUUUUUUUGAGGAAAUGUUUUGGUUUUGUUUCAUCAUGUAAGUUUUAAGUAAAUGCAUGCUUCUAUUACUCUAGACAUGUAUUUGUUUUCUAUCUACACUAGUGAUUUUGUCAUUUCAA